rnacentral:rRNA from 1 species
ACGGGAGGCAGCAGUGGGGAAUAUUGCGCAAUGGGGGAAACCCUGACGCAGCGACGCCGCGUGAGUGAAGAAGUAUUUCGGUAUGUAAAGCUCUAUCAGCAGGGAAGAAAAUGACGGUACCUGACUAAGAAGCCCCGGCUAACUACGUGCCAGCAGCCGCGGUAAUACGUAGGGGGCAAGCGCUAUCCGGAUUUACUGGGUGUAAAGGGAGCGUAGACGGUGAAGCAAGUCUGAAGUGAGGCAGGGGCUCAACCCCUGGACUGCUUUGGAAACUGUUUUACUAGAGUGCAGGAGAGGUAAGCGGAAUUCCUAGUGUAGCGGUGAAAUGCGUAGAUAUUAGGAGGAACACCAGUGGCGAAGGCGGCUUACUGGACUGUAACUGACGUUGAGGCUCGAAAGCGUGGGGAGCAAACAGGAUUAGAUACCCUGGUA